GAUGAACGCUGGCGGCGUGCCUAAUACAUGCAAGUCGAGCGAACAGAUGAGAAGCUUGCUUCUCUGAUGUUAGCGGCGGACGGGUGAGUAACACGUGGGUAACCUACCUAUAAGACUGGGAUAACUCCGGGAAACCGGGGCUGAUACCUGAUAAUAUUUUGAACCGCAUGGUUCAAUAGUGAAAGGCGGCUUCGGCUGUCACUUAUAGAUGGACCCGCGCCGUAUUAGCUAGUUGGCAAGGUAACGGCUUACCAAGGCGACGAUACGUAGCCGAACUGAGAGGGUGAUCGGCCACACUGGAACUGAGACACGGUCCAGACUCCUACGGGAGGCAGCAGUAGGGAAUCUUCCGCAAUGGGCGAAAGCCUGACGGAGCAACGCCGCGUGAGUGAUGAAGGUCUUCGGAUCGUAAAACUCUGUUGUUAGGGAAGAACAAAUUUGUUAGUAAUUGAACAAGUCUUGACGGUACCUAACCAGAAAGCCACGGCUAACUACGUGCCAGCCGCCGCAGUAA
rnacentral:rRNA from 1 species